rnacentral:rRNA from 1 species
GACGUAGGGGGCGAGCGUUGUCCGGAUUUAUUGGGCGUAAAGCGUGCGUAGGCGGCUGCGCAAGUCGGGUGUGAAACCCCGGGGCUCAACCCCGGAACUGCAUCCGAUACUGCGUGGCUAGAGGUAGGUAGGGGAGAUCGGAAUUCCUGGUGUAGCGGUGAAAUGCGCAGAUAUCAGGAGGAACACCGAUGGCGAAGGCAGGUCACUGGGCCGCAACUGACGCUGAGGAGCGAAAGCAUGGGGAGCAAACAGG